rnacentral:misc_RNA from 1 species
GAUGAAGAACGUAGCGAAAUGUGAUACUUGGUGUGGAUUGCAGAAUCCCGUGAACCAUCGAGUUUUUGAACGCAAGUUGCGCCGGAAGCCGUUAGGCCGAGGGCACGCCUGCCUGGGUGUCACACAUCGUUGCCCCAAUGCCAAUCGCCUCACUUUGUAGGUAUUUGCUUGGGGUGAAUGUUGGCCUCCCGUGAGCUUUGUCUCACGGUUGGUUGAAAAUCGAGUGCAUGGUGUCGGGUGUACCAUGAUGGAUGGUGGUUGAGUGAUGAUGCUCGAGACCAAUCAUGGGUAACUCCACCAGAAUUGGGCUCGGUGACCCACAUGCGUCCCUUGGAUGCUCCCUAAGGAGACCUCAGGUCAGGCGGGGCUACCCGCUGAGUUUAAGCAUAUCAAUAAGCGGAGGA